UNAAAGAGAUAGGAGUUGAACCUACGUCUAAGGGAUC
rnacentral:tRNA from 1 species